rnacentral:rRNA from 1 species
CCUACGGGUGGCAGCAGUGGGGAAUCUUGCGCUAAUGCGCGAAAGCGUGACGCAGCGACGCCGCGUGCGGGAUGAAGGCCCUCGGGUCGUAAACCGCUUUCGGCAGGGACGAAGCGAAAGUGACGGUACCUGCAGAAGAAGUCCCGGCUAACUACGUGCCAGCAGCCGCGGUAACACGUAGGGGACGAGCGUUGUCCGGAUUCAUUGGGCGUAAAGCGCGCGUAGGCGGCUCGGAAAGUCGGUUGUGAAAUCCUGGGGCUCAACCCCGGAACUGCGUCCGAUACUUCCGAGCUGGAGGCAGGUAGGGGAGAUCGGAAUUCCUGGUGUAGCGGUGAAAUGCGCAGAUAUCAGGAGGAACACCGGUGGCGAAGGCGGAUCUCUGGGCCUUGCCUGACGCUGAGGCGCGAAAGCUAGGGGAGCGAACAGGAUUAGAUACCCUG